GGUGGGGGCAUUAGUGUUGGUGAGGGGAGGAGGCAGAGGGGGAUUCGGUAGAGAGGAGCCGAAGUAAAUAGGAGGCCGAGAGCAAGAGAGUGAUCAUUAUGAGACGAGCUGAAAGCACGGGAAGGACACGACUUCUCUCUCAGCCUCCAUUAGCAUCCGUAAACAAGAGCAAGUGAACAGCAGCCCAGGUUCUGAACACAGCGGUGUCCCACCUACCAGGUGUAAACAGGGAUGACCGUCACUCAGCAGCUGUAAGGAGGAGGAGGAAGACAGGAAACAUCUGAAAGCAAAACAGGGAAGGUUUCAACACAGUGAAGAGGGAGUCACUGUAGUUACAGCAUUGAGCUGAGGCCCAUCCUCCCCUACCAGAAGAUGGGCACAGCAGAAGCCACUUUACGCAUGGACAGCAUGGAGGUGAAGGACGAGUGGCAAGAUGAGGACUUCCCCAGGUAUUCGUUUGUCUGGGAAUAAGUGAAAUGCUGCGUUUGUGUGUACAGUCUCUCCGAUUUGUGCACAAACUCUGACAAACAGCUCAGGCUUUGAUGGAAAGUUGGUCACGUGUCGAAGGCUAAAAGGAAGCAGGUGUGUGCUUUCCGGGAUGUAGUUAUUAGGUGUUGCGUGAUGAGGUUGUAUCAUGUCAGUGAACAAAAUAGCAGCUUGAAAAGAGAGCAGAGGAGAAGAGAACA